rnacentral:pre_miRNA from 1 species
AUCUUUCUCAAUGCGUUCUGAGAUUUCGUCAGACACCAAAACUUUAGGGCUGAUCAGACUUCCAACAUAUGUGAAGUU